GUGUGUUGUAAGGGCGCAUGGUGGAUGCCUUGGCAUGCUAAGCCGAUGAAGGACGUGGAAGGCUGCGUUAUGCCUCGGGGAGUUGUCAAUCGAGCGUUGAUCCGAGGAUGUCCGAAUGGGGAAACCCGGCUGUGGUUAUUCGCAGUCACCUGCUGGUGAAUAUAUAGCCAGUAUGGGGGUUACGCGGGGAAGUGAAACAUCUCAGUACCCGUAGGAGAAGGAAACAAUAUGUGAUUUCGUGAGUAGCGGCGAGCGAAAGCGAAUGGUGGCUAAACCGUAUGUGUGUGAUACUUGGUAGAGGUUGCAUGUGCGGGGUUGUUGGGAGCGAUUGUAUGACUACUACCAUGGUUGUGCCAGUGUGCGCGUGUUAGGUGAAGUGGUUUGGAAUGGCCCACCGGAGUGGGUGAGAGUCCUGUAGCUGAAGGCAUGUGUGUGUUGGUUGAUUGUUUCCCGAGUAGCGGCGGGCUCGUGGAAUCUGCCGUGAAUCUGCCGGGACCACCCGGUAAGCCUAAAUACUUAGUGUGACCGAUAGCGGAUAGUACCGUGAGGGAAUGGUGAAAAGUACCCCGGGAGGGGAGUGAAAUAGUUCCUGAAACCAUGUGCUUACAAUCCGUCAGAGCACCUUUUGUUGUGUGAUGGCGUGCCUUUUGAAGAAUGAGCCUGCGAGUCAGCGGCAUGUCGCGAGGUUAACCCGUGUGGGGUAGUCGUAGCGAAAGCGAAUCCUAAUUGGGUGUUGUUAGUGGCAUGUCCUGGACCCGAAGCGGGGUGAUCUACCCAUGGCCAGUGUGAAGCAGCUGUAAGAGGUUGUGGAGGCGCGAACCCACGUAGGUUGAAAACUGCGGGGAUGAGCUGUGGGUAGGGGUGAAAGGCCAAUCAAACUCCGUGAUAGCUGGUUCUCCCCGAAAUGCAUUUAGGUGCAGCGUCGUAGUUGAGCUUUGUGGAGGUAGAGCUACUGUUUGGUUGAGCGGGACUAUCAUCUUAGCAACAUCAGACAAACUCCGAAUGCCAUGUAAGUGUUCUACGGCAGUGAGACUGUGGGGGAUAAGCUUCAUAGUCGAGAGGGAAACAGCCCAGAUCGCCGGCUAAGGCCCCUAAGGGUGUACUAAGUGGAAAAGGAUGUGGGAUCGCGAUGACAGCCAGGAGGUUGGCUUAGAAGCAGCCAUCCUUGAAAGAGUGCGUAAUAGCUCACUGGUCGAGUGGUUCUGCGCCGAUAAUGUAGUGGGGCUCAAGUACACCGCCGAAGCCGCGGCAACCAUCUUUGAGGAUGGUUGGGUAGGGGAGCGUCGUGCAUGAGGUGAAGCAUGAGUGUGAACACGUGUGGAUUGUGUGCGAGUGAGAAUGCAGGCAUGAGUAACGAAUUGUAAGGUGAGAAUCCUUACCGCCGGAUGACUAAGGGUUCCUGGGUCAAGUUCGUCUUCCCAGGGUGAGUCGGGACCUAAGGCGAGGCCGACAGGCGUAGUCGAUGGAUAACCAGUUGAUAUUCUGGUACCCGAGUGUGUGCGUCAAUGGUAAAGCAGUGAUACUAACCAUGUUCGAGACUUAUUGAUUAUGCCCUUUUUGGGUAUGUUGAUAGGUUGAGUUUGUGGGGCCUGAUCUGUGGUCCAAGUGAUGGGGUGACGCAGUAGGGCAGCCACGCCGCUUAGUGGAUUGUUGGUGUAAGCGUUGAGGUUGGUGCCAUUGGUAAAUCCGGGUGCUGUAUCCAAGGCGUGAUGCAUAGCCCUUUUUUGGGUGAAUGUGGUGUGCUUGUGCUGUCGAGAAAAGCCUCUAGCGAGUGCAUAUUCGGCCCGUACCCUAAACCGACACAGGUAGUCAGGUUGAGAAUACUAAGGCGUUCGGGUGAACUGUGGUUAAGGAACUCGGCAAAAUGUCCCCGUAACUUCGGGAGAAGGGGAGCCUCACUGGUUGUAUAGGCUGGUGGGGCCGCAGAGAAUAGAGGGGUCCGACUGUUUAUCAAAAACACAGGUCCAUGCGAAAACGUGAAGUUGAUGUAUAUGGACUGACGCCUGCCCGGUGCUGGAAGGUUAAGAGGACCUGUUAGACCUUUUGUGGUCGAAGCGGAGAAUUUAAGCCCCAGUAAACGGCGGUGGUAACUAUAACCAUCCUAAGGUAGCGAAAUUCCUUGUCGGGUAAGUUCCGACCUGCACGAAUGGCGUAACGAGACCCCUGCUGUCUCAACCACAGGCCCGGUGAAAUUGCAGUACGAGUAAAGAUGCUCGUUACGCGCGGCAGGACGAAAAGACCCCGGGACCUUCACUAUAGCUUGGUAUUGGUGUUCGGUUUGGCUUGUGUAGGAUAGGUGGGAGACUGUGAAGUAUGCACGCUAGUGU
rnacentral:rRNA from 1 species